GACGGAGGGUGCUAGCGUUGUUCGGAAUCACUGGGCGUAAAGGGCGCGUAGGCGGCCGCCCGCGUCGGACGUGAAAGCCCGGGGCUCAACCCCGGAACGGCGUCCGAUACGGGGCGGCUCGAGGCCGGGAGAGGGGGGUGGAAUACCCAGUGUAGAGGUGAAAUUCGUAGAUAUUGGGUGGAACACCGGUGGCGAAAGCGGCCCCCUGGCCCGGUCCUGACGCUGAGGCGCGAAAGCGUGGGAGCAAACAGG
rnacentral:rRNA from 1 species